rnacentral:lncRNA from 1 species
AGAUACAAUAUUAAAUAACAAAACAACAUUCCACUUAUUCACUAUAACCUAUAUUAAAGGCUAGAGUUUGUAUGUAUAUAAGAAUUGUCAAAACGACAUUUUACCUUCAGGUGAUCUAAGCACUCUUUAUUUUGGUAUGAUCCAUUUAAGGAGAAUAUUCACUGAAUUUUUUCCCCAAUUAAAACAACCAUUGUUUAUUUCUUUAUUUUUUAUUUAGGCAUGGCUUUUCUUUAUGUGUUUUAUUUGUAUUUCAAAUAAAUACCUCUUCCAAGACAUUAUUUGCAUUUAGAAGAAUAACUAUAUAUUAUCACCUUUAAUAAAGCUGAAUAUGAAUCUGUUUGUUGGAAUUAGAGAUAACUAAAUUUUCUAUACAUACUAAAAAAAUUAAAAAGCUGGUACAUUUGAUUCACUGCAUAUUAUAUUUUCUA